ensembl:lncRNA
UUCUUCUGCAGGGCGAAAGAAAGCUCUCUCAACGUGUAGUUCUCACAUAACAAUUGUAGUUUUAUUUUUUGUGCCCUGUAUCUAUACUUACGUUCUACCUGCAGGGAGCAAGAACAAGGACAAGGACAUCUCUGUGUUUUACACUGUGAUUGCCCCCAUGCUGAACCCUCUCAUCUACACCCUGAGAAACACGGAGAUGAAAAUCACCAUAAGGAAGGCAUCAGAGUCUUUUCCAAUGAGUCAACUCUUCGCAUGAGGUGGCCAAAGUACUGGACUUUCAGCUUCAGCAUCAUUCCUUCCAAAGAACACCCAGGGCUGAUCUCCUU